rnacentral:rRNA from 1 species
CCCUUAGAUGUCCUGGGCCGCACGCGCGCUACACUGAGUGUCUGAGAUACAAGUCUGCCUGGUCCGGCAAGGUCUAGGUAAUCGCUAAAAGACACAUCAUGCUUGGGAUAGAUUAUUGCAAAUAUUAAUCUUGAACGAGGAAUUCCUAGUAAGCGCAAGUCAACAGCUUGCGUUGAUUACGUCCCUGCCCUUUGUACACACCGCCCGUCGCUACUACUGAUUGGAUGUUUAAGCGAGGUUCUCGAACUGCUAGCGACUUAGCUUCGGUGAGGUCGCAGUGUGGGAAGUGAACCGAGCUUUGGUGUCUAGAGGAAGUAAAAGUCGUAACA